rnacentral:lncRNA from 1 species
AUGGACCGACUUUUCAUCGCAUAACAUUAACUAUACCAAGACCAUAAUUACACAUCGAUUAACAUAGUGCAUGAAACAUUCUACAAUGAAGUAACUACUAAAACGAGCAUAAAUUACAAGAUAACUUCCUCUAGUGUCACCUUUAGCUAUGUCUUGUGCCUUUAUCAUGAAAUACCGAAAGCUUGAACUAUAGAGUCUACACGAAUGAUACAUGACAACAACAGCUAAAGGUAGACACAUAAUCUAGUCCUUGGAUAAUUUUGAAAAUGAUAUUCUCCUUUUUCCGUGAUGAUCCUCAAAUGUAUCACAUUGCAACACAACCAUGCUCCAGCAGAUUUAAUCGGUUGUUGCAUCAAAAUUAUCCAUUGCGCCACCUCUCUUUUUCUCUCUCAGAUUCUUAGCCCACACUUUGCCUCGGCUACUGCACGCUCUCUAUCUAAAUCUCGCUUCUUUGUCUCCUAGCUCUUCCUGCACUAACAUGGUUAUCUCUUUGAGAAUCUGAACGCUCUAGUCUAAAGCCCAUCGUCUCCCAGACCCACCACUGGUUUCAUCAUUCCGCGACUUUAUAACAAUUGACAAAGGCACAGCGCUGAAAAACCCAAAACAGAAAGAGCAUAAACAAUUAAACAAAUAUCACAUUUUCAAAUAGUCUUGCUGAACUUGGCAUGAAUUUCAAACUAAAUAAACAUAACCCACAAUCAACACAAUACAUAUAUUUACCAAAAAAUGUGGUUCCUCUCCAAUUAUAUAUUAAACCGCAAUCAUCAGAUUAAGGGGAUACAGUGGAUUAAUCCAACCAUUUUUGAAUUUCAUACACAUACAUACCAAGUGAGGAAUCUAACUACAACUCAUCUCUCAGAGUUAUUUUCCAAGCAACAAACACUAGUUAUGGCACAAUUUGUAGCAAAAUUAUUUUAAUUUCCAAAAUUAUGGUUGUCCCCCAAAUUACAAAGAUAAACGAAACACCACUUCAAAUAAUAAGAUAGGGCGAAAGUUCACCCACAUUAAUCUAAUAAUUCGUAGGAACACAUCUAAUUACCAAAGGCGGAUUCUAAUACUUGAUUUAACACCCGUAUCAGGAACUAAUUCAAUUACUCCGUCCCCCAAAAUCGACCCAUAACCCAUAACUUUGUCUCCCAAAUCUCAAAUCAAAACAAGAAACGGGUGACAAUGAUAAUUUGAAGAUAAAACCCAAUAAACGGGUAACAAUAAACACCCACAAUACAUUUUCAUAUAGUCCUCAUGUCUACAGCAUUCAAAUCAAACUACAGAACAAAACCCAAAAACAAAUUAACAGACAUAUUGUCUACAAAUUGAUUAGGGACAAGCAAAAUAACAAUCGCCCAACGAUUUAUCACUAUAUAAAUGACAUGCAGGUACAAAUUGAGCGACACAAUGGUUUCGCAUCAACAAAAUGGAUUAGCAUUUCACUUGUUUACAACUCGAUUUGAACGAAACUGACCUGAACUCAUCCUUCGGUUUCGCAUUAAUAUUAUAGUGGUGGACACUUAUCACAAUGGUUCCACUGUGUUCCUCGAGCGAUCGUUCGUGUUUAUCUGAUUAGGAUGUUGGUUUUGAUUUUAGGGGAGUGAUUUUAAGGGGAAACAAUGGUGUAAUAACUGUCACUUGAAUGACGUAGUAGACGAU